rnacentral:lncRNA from 1 species
GUGAGAACUUAAGAGACCAGAAUCGUGCCUGGGUUAUCCGAGUGAUGGAGAAAGAGCAGUAAUGUUAUAUUAGCAUUAAGAUUGGAAAUAACAGUAGAAGAGGCAGUGAUUAUUAAAUGAAGAAUAGAGGGACAAAAAAAAUAAACACCGAGAGGAGAACAAGAAAAAGAAGUUGAUUGAUCAAAAAAAAAAUGCUUUGAUACAAUAAAAAUAAGUGAAACCUCUUGACUCGAGGGAACAAAUAUAGUAGAAUAUAACAAUAAAAUUCUAUUAUUAUGGAAAAGAUACUAGGAAUCAGAUAUAGCAUAAUAUAGUAGCAAAAUUUUAUGAUUUAGUACUAAUACUAAAUUUGAAUAUGACAAUCAAAUUCAAUGAUUUUUGGAUCUGAACUCAUAUACCAAGAUUGUGCAUACAAUAUGUGGCAGUUGUGAUAUCCAAAAUCGUAUAUACGAUAAUAGGUGAGAUUGUGCAUGAUUAACUGUUGUAAUAUUUGUAUGGAUUCAAUUAGGAUUAAAGUAAUGCUUUUCUUGAUGGUUUACUUGUUGACCUCAGCAGUGGAAUCCAGAUUAGAAGCAAU